CCUUUCACUGCUUUCCUUCAAUUAUUUCCCACUUCCUUUUGCCUUCAAAAUUUCCUUGGGAUUCCUAUGGCUACUGCUGAGGUAUUGUUUUGCUUAUUAACUACUCCAUUUAAGCUUUGUUUAUCAACUGAUCUUUUAUUAUGAAGUUCAAAGCAAACCAUCAUGAUCUUCACAAACCCUUUUCCUGAUACUUUUUUAUUUUAGAUUCCAUUAACCAAUAUGUUUUUGUAGGUUGCAUCAGUUCAAACUGCACUUCAUGAGGAGAAAACUGAAGAAUCAGUGAAGGAUCAAGAAGCUACAACAGAUGAAGUAGUUGCCGAAGCUCCUGCAGCGGAAGCAGCUGCCGAAGAGCCAAAGGAAGCGGAGCCUGCGGCGGUGGCAGUCGAGGAACCUGAAGCCUCGGUUGAAGUUGAAACCAAGGAGGUGGUAGAAGAACCAAAGGCUGUUACUGAGGAGCCAGUAGUAGAGGAGACUCCUAAGGAAACAGUGCCAGAACCAGUUGCCGAGGAGAUCAAGGAAACCACUGAACAAACCGUUGAAACCAAAGAAACUACAGAGUCUAGUGAGGCAGCAGCAGAAGCACCCAAAGAAGAAGUUGAGAAGGAAGAAGAAGCAAAACCGGCUGAAGUGGAGGAGAAAGUUGAAACAGAAACUGAUCCAGCAGAGAAGACUGAGUAAAUAAUAAAGCUUUUGUGAUGAAAAUGAGGGUGUCAAUGGAAGAUUGUUUCAAGUGGCUACAGUUUGAUAAGUUUGCAUGUCAAUUCAACUAGUUUUCUUCUAUGUAGGUCAAUAAGGAUGUGGUAAUGUGGCUGAUGGAGGCCCACCGAUAGUAGUCUUGCAAUGGCUAAGUUAACAUGCAUUUGCAUAUGUCAAAGAGUGACAUACUUCAUGUUCCAUUGUGGGGGAAUUUUUAUGGGUCAUCUGUUAUCUGUAAAGGGAUGGGUUUCUUGGGUCCCAAACCACCUUUCUUUGCUUAUGUUUAUUGUUUUGCUUGUAUGGUUAUUAGGAGAGGCAGUAUCAAGUAUGCAUGUUGUCUUGGUUAUAAUAAAUCUUAGUCCUUUUGUUUAACAUUUGUUCAAUGUCCAAUUUCUUCCUAUUGCUCCAAUAUACCCAAAACCCGAGACUGCUUUUUCUUUUAAAAUAAUUUAAUUUAAUGCAAUUUCUUUUCCUCACACUCUUUCAAAUUAGCCUACAUUGUCCAUUUUCACAUAAAUGCAUUGUUUUGAGACCUAGGAUCUGUUUUGAAAAACACAUUAAAGUCUAAUUAUUAAGACUAAUUAAUUAUAAAGAAUUGUAAUUAUUUAGAUGUGUUUGGCUAACAAAAUAUAAUUAUAUUGUAAUUCAUGUAAUUUUUUAUGUCAUGUUUGACAGUACAAAUUGUAAUUAUAUAGUUAUAUAAUUUAUAUUUUUUGUAAAAUAUUAUUAGCGUGAUAAUUUUUUUCCAAACAAGUAAUAAAAAUAAAAAUUAAAUUAUCAUAUGUAUUAUGUUAGUCCAAAAAUGUAGUUGAUAAUACGAUUACUAAUAAAAAUAACAAGGAAAAUAAACAUUAUAUGUAAUUUUAUCUAAUUGUUCUAGUGCUCCAUAUUUGUUGAUUUUUUUAUAGUAUUAAGUAAUUGCAAUCACUCCACAUAUGUUGUGCUUGCGUUGUGACCAAGUCAAUUAUUAACGUGUCAUAAUGUUUUAUUGAUGUUGAGGCUAAAGCCUUUGUUUUGUUGAUGGAGCUUGUGCUUCACCAUCUAUGACGAGUACUUACUAUUUUUUCUCUCUGAAUUGUAUAAUUCUAUUCAUUGAAUAAAUUAAUGAAUUUACCUUUCGAUUUUAUUUUGUGAUUUAUUUUUAAUUAUGAGAACUAUGCUACGAUAAUAUCCUGUUAGAUGUAUUUUAAGACAUAUUAUUAUGUGGUUUACUAUAUUAAGACAUUUAGAAAAUUUUCAGUAUGAAUAAAUUUUAUUUAUAACAUUAUUAGUUUAUUAUAUUCUUUUAAUUUUUUUGAAAUUUUUUUUUAUAUCUAGUGGAAUCAAAUCAACAAGCCUUUUAAUUCAUUAUAAAAUUAGGAUUUGUUUGAAACAUUUUUAUUCUUUUUUAGAUUUAACCACCUUCAAUUUUGGAAGAAAGAAUAAUAAGGGUAACUAAGACUUACUAACUACAAACUUGAUUUAGCAAUUAUAUUUGUAUGAAAUACUAAUUAUUUUUUAUAGAAUAUGGAUAGAAUUGUUCAUUUAAGCUAUAUAGGAAUUGCAGGUUAGACUAUUUAUAGUUUACAUUCAUAUAAUUUAAUUAUUUAUAGUUUUGCUUAAAGCAAUACCUGAAAUUAACUUUUUUUUUUAAUAUUCCUAUAGAUUAGUCUUUAGUAAAAACAAAACAUGAUUUCAAGUAUUUUUUAAAUUUAUUCUAAAACAAGUUUUAUAUAUACGUAAUUUUUAUAUAUGUAUUGUUAUAUUUAAAAAAUAUAUGUAAGACAAAUUUGAAACAAUUUUGUUUUCAAUUAAAACUAUAAUUUAAAAAUUAUCAAUUAAAUUUUAUUAUUAAAUAUUUAAUUCAAAUAUUUGUUUAGAAUAAAGCUUAUUACAAAAAUUAAAUACAUGAAUAUUAACUUUUAUUUAAUAAGGGUAAAUUUGUAAAUUAUCAUUAUAUUCACAGUAAAAAAAUUUAGUGAACCAAAUAUGAUAAUGUAAAACUCCUAGAAUUUUAAUUAGUACCUUCCGAUGUAUAUCAAAUAUUGUAAAGUAAUUUUAUCGACAAUCAUAUUCUAUGAAUUAUAUUCAAUUACAAUCAUACCAUGGAAAGCACCAAACGCUACCUUAAAUGUUGCAAUAUUAAUGACAAAACUUCUAUGAUCGUAAAGGAUAUUAUUAAAAUUAAAAUAAGUUAUGGAUAUGAUUAUACCAGUAUUAAUGCAUCGAAUUCCAUCAGAAUUCCACAAUUAAGUGUACUUGGAUGAGAGUAGUAUUAGGAUGAGUAACCUUUCGAUAAUCAUAAAAAAAAUUAAAAUAAAUUGUAUAGAUGUAAAAGAUUUAGAGAUGAACUGAAAGUAUUAUGAACGAAGUAUCUAAAACUGGUUGGUGAAUAAUCUACGAACUACGAAUGUUGCUGUUGAGGAAAUUGUAAGGUACCGAUAAGUUUGCUUUUACUGGAUUCUAUUUCGCAGGUAAUGAAUGAUAGUAUUAUUUUAAGGGUUUCUGAGUUUGUAUAUGGUCUGAAACAAAUUUAAUGGUAACUGGUAGUGUAUAAGGUAAUUCAUAUGUAAUCAGUCUAUUGUGUCAUAAUAAAUGUUUUUUAUAUAAUUCUUAACAAUGAUGUAAAUAUAUUUAAUUUAAGUAAAGCAUGUUGUCACUAAAACUUGAAUUCUUGAUUCUAUGAUUUGAUUUACAAUUGUUGAUAUAUGUUAUCGAUAAGAAAAGAUUUGGCUGAGGUGAAUGGCUUUCACUCUUAAAGAGCGGAGAGACGGUGUGAUGAAGUCGAAGAAAAAAACUUUAGGGAGAGUGAUAGAGAGAAGUAUUGGUUGAAUAAAAGUGUGUGUAGGAUUCAUGUCCGCUAUUCAAGUGAGUAUGCUUAUAUAUGAAAUGUUAGGGAUGCCAUGUGUAAAUGUUAUGUUGGCGGUAGGGUCACCUUCUAUGUCCUUAUAAAGAUAAUGAUGUGACCCUAUAGAAAAUAAUUUACAUAAAUUACUGAGAAUUAUUGCUAUCAUGACUUUAUACUAAAAUUUAAUAUUUGUUUUGACUUAAUGUGACAUUAUAUUUCUUGAAUGUAUGAUUUUUUUAAUAUUUUUAAAAAUAUAAUUUAAUUUACUAUAAUUUAAGGAUAAUUAAUUUAUUUUAUGUAAAAAAUUUCAAUUUUUUAUAUACUAAAUAAUCAUCCUUAAUUUAAUUUAAUUUAAUGAUAAAUAAAGUUUUUGAUUUGUUAUAUGUUUUAAAUAUUUCUAGCAUCGUACUAAUUAAAUAUAUAGAAUUGUAUUUGAAAAUUGGUUUACAAAAACUAUAACAUUCAAACAAAAUAUAAUUUGAGUUAACAUUUAUGAAUAAUAACAUUCAAACAUAUGAAAUAGUUUACUAAUUUUUUGUUGUACAAAAUAUUUUUACAACAUAAUUGUAUAAUAGUAAUGCAAAAACUAUAACAUUCAAACAGAUGUUUAAUAAUAAAUGAAAUAUUUGGGGAUAACCUACAAUGAUUUCUCUUUGAAUGUAAGUGUUGCAAUUGUAAUGACAAAACUUUUAUGAUCAUAAGAGGUAUUAUUAAAAUUAAAGUAAACUAUAUAGAGUUAAAAGGUUUAGAAAUGAAUUGAAAGCAUUGUGUACGAACUAUCUAAAAUUAGUUGGUGGAUAAUUUAUGUACUUUGAAGUAUUAAAUAGAUUUUUUAAUAGAUUUUUUUGAUAAAAUUGUCAUGAUUUUAAUGGAAUUAAAAUUGGGUUAAGACAUUGGAAAAUUAAUUUAUGAUGUUUAUUUUGGGAAAUAGAAAAAUAUGUAUUAGAUUGAAUUAAAUUAUAAAGUGGGGUUAAAAGUCCAGGAAGCACAUAUGCCCAAAUCCCCAUCAUAAUAUAUAUGAGGGGAAGCACACAUUAUUAGCCCCCUCUCUCUUAGUUCGACUAGGAUUUUUUUUCUAUUGAAAUAAACUUAUACUAAAUCAACAAGGGUUUCACUUCUUCUCCCUAUAAAUAGAUGACACCGGUAGGGCUAAACAUACAACUUUGAUAUACUGUUAUUUUGCCUGAAAAUAGUGAGAGUUUAUUCUCUAAGUAUUAAUUCUACUUUUCGAAAUAACAAUUCUACCAGUUUCUAUUUAGAGAGAAUUUUGCUUUACUUUGAAAGUAAAAUAAACAAUAUUUGGUUCUGUGUUUGAUGCGGAUUUGUUUAAGCCCACACUUGAAGCAGUUUGUGGUACGAGAAUAGUGGAGAAGGUCGUUCGGUUAAAAGUUAGGAACGAUAAGGAUCUGUUUAGUCGAAAACACAAGUGCAAUUUCGGUAAAGGAUUUACUGCUAUAAAUAUCACAUAUCGACUCGAUUUUCAAAAUUUUUAUUUUUCGCUGUACAAGAAAAUCAUUUUCUAACUUGAUUUUUCUAAUAUUUGGUAUCAGAGCUAGGUUGUGCUAUGUUUAUAGUAUAAAUCGAUACAAAAUCUUUUCUCUCUUCUUCAUGUGUGAUUAUUUUUGAUAAGAUGUAAAAUUCUGAUAAUUAUAUAUAUGUUUAGGGUAAUGUAUGCAAAUGAAUGUAUGUUAUUAUUUUAUUAUUAUGUAUGAUCAAGUAAUUUUCUCAAAGUUGUGAUUCCUAGAAAAUUAAAUAUAAUUUUAUUAAUUUCUCGGGUAUGUAUAAAUUAGAUUGUGGACUAUCAUCUCCAUGCAGGGUUUAAUUUUAUUAUUUUAGAAUAAAUAAUGUGAGUCAGAAACAAACAUAGGAUUUAUGUAACCUAUAUUUUUUGACGAAACUCAGAGAACCAAGACACAUCGAGGCCAAUCAAGACAACAUAAACUCAAACCAACCAAAUUGACAAUAGACUGAUGGUGGUCAGAUAGUUGGAGGCUACCGGUGGUCCGACGGUGAUGUUCAAUAGCAAGGGCUAGCGGUAGAGACUGAUGGCGAUGGUCUAUGAUAGUGGUUGGUGGCUAUCGGUAGUGGCUGAUUAUGGUGGUCUAGCAGUGGCCGACGACAGUGGUUGGUGGUGGUACAAUGAUAACUCGUGACAAUUCGGCGAUGGCGGUGACACGUAAACGAUGACAGAAUGACAACGACGAUAAUAACGUGAACCGGUACCGUAGCAAAAGUCCAUGGUGUCAAAAUAGAAUACCCUAAAUAUGCUUUGGGGUGAAUUUUAUAAUUUUUUUUUACUUUUCUAGAAUAGAAUCAUGGAAAAUUUAGCUGGUUAGGGUCAUUUAAAUUUGUAUGCUUUUAUAUGUGUUAGCAUGAUGAUAUUUAUUUGACUGCGAAUAUAUGUUUAUGCAUAUGUAUGAUAAGCAUGCCAUAUAGUUUAAGGCAAUAAUGCCACAUGUACUUGUCAUGUAUACAUUGAUCAUUCAUGUUUGAAACCGAACAUUAAAAAUCUUACAUGUUUUUAAAAGAUUAAGUGGGAGAAGAUCCCUAAACAAGACCUACAGUCUCCAUCAAUGGUCUAUUGUGAUUGCAUAACAAUUUAACUACUUACAGUAGGAUUGUCAUAUGGACUUCACUGAAGAGAUUUCUUGAAAGUAAGUAGAACUGUCUUGUAAUCAUAUGAUAGUUGGAUCGACCUUGUUAUAGGUAUUAUCAUGCGAUAUGACAAGAAAUUCUUUCUUCAAAGAGGAAUACUAGUCAUAGCAUGUUACUCGGUAAGAUUAUCCUAUGAUGACACAUUUGUGGUACAUGAUGCGAUGGGUGUUAAGUUGAUAGUUACACACUUAAGCUCUUCUAGUCAAGUAACUUCCCACAAUGCUUUACUUAAGUUAGAAUAAUGACCAAACAUUAAAUAAUUAUUAGUGUAUGUGAAUGCUUAAGGAAUUACAUUCAUGUACUGAUUGAAUGAAAAUCCAUGUUCUUAAUAGUUGAUUAUGAUCACCCCAUGGUGACUUGAUUCAAUAGGUGUAAGAAUUAUUGUUGCAACGACUUAUAAAUGUUUUCAAGGUUUAAUGUAAGACGCAUGCAUCAUUUUAAUGCAUAUCAUAAUGUUGCAAAACAUUUUCAAAUAUUUUCUUAAUACAAAGAUAUUAAUGAAUGGAUGUUUUAAUUUUAGUUUGAAAAUAGAACCUAUUCCUUUAUUAAAUAUACUCACAGAAAAUAAACUAAUUGAAAAUAACUGUAAGGAAUGGAAAAGGAACCUGAUGAUUGUUCUAAGUUGUGAGAAACUAAAGACAGUCCUUGAUAAUAAAUGCCUACUGGCCACUCAAGAUGAGGCUAGAAAACAUUGGGAGGAGUCUGAUGAGAUAACUCGUUGCUAUAGACUAGUAAGCGUGACCAACACCCUUUAUAAACAACUGAAGAGUUGUAAGACUGCAAAAGUAAUUCUAGACAAACUAGAAGACAUGUUCGAAGGCCAAGAUGUCUUGGCUCAACAGUCGACUCAUACUAGUUUGAUGAAUGCCCAACAAAAACCCAACACUCCAUUCAAAGACCAUAUGAUUACUCUUAUGGGAUACAUUGCCGAGGCCGUGGAUAAUAAGGCCAAUUUGGAUUAAAAUAAUCAAAUUAUGAUGGUGUUCAAAAGCUUGUCCAAGGCUCUUGCAGGCUUUUGAGCUAUAAAUAACCUUGAGAACACUAAUUUGACGCUUACACAACUCAUGAAAGAAUUACAACCCUAUGAGUUAAUGUUAAAUGGCAGCCAACUGGUACGAAGAGUGGAAGCAAACUUAGCUGUAACUUUUUCCUCAAAAGGGAAGAAAAAAUGUGCUAAGAAAAGUAAGGGUAAGUUAUUUGGGCCACCAAAAGUGGAAAGGAAGUUAUCCAAGAAGCUUAAAGACUUAUCUAAGUAUAAAUGCAUCUUUUGUAGUAAGAAAGGGCACUUCAAUGCAAAUUGUAAAAAAUGGAAGGAAUACCUUGCACCAAAGCGAAAGUAUGAAACUCUUUAUGAUAGAAACUUGUUUAGUGGAAGAUUCAAUAGACCAUUGGGUCAUUGAUUUUGGAGUCACUAAUCAAAUGUGUGUUUUUUUGCAGGGGUUCGAGGAGAUGAAAGAUCUUAGAUAUAAGAGUCUAUCGUUGCAGCCAAAAAAUGAGACAACUAUAGCAGCUGAAGCAUGGGGAUAUAUACAUAUUUACUUUGAUAAUUUUAGGAAGAUUAUUUUGAAAGACGUUUCCUAUGUACCAAGUUUCAAAAGAAACUUGAUUUUUGUUGCAUGUUUAUAUAAAGACGGCUUGACCAUGACUUUUAAUAAUAAUAUUGCAAUAUUUAGAAAUCGUAAACUUAUCUGUGAUGGAUGGAUGUCAAAUAAUCUCUAUUUUAGCAAACCAAAUAUGUGCACAUUGCUUGAGACUAAAAUUUCGAAUAAAAGACUUAAAACUUCUCACUCUAAUGAGGUGUACCUUUGGCAUUUGAGACUUGAACAUAUUAACCAAGAUAGAAUUACCAGACUUGCGAAAUAUGGUUCUUUAUGUUCGAUUAAACAAGUUGAUCUUCCACAAUGCGAAUCUUGCUUCGAAGGAAAGAUGACUAAGUGAUCUUUUAAUGCAAACGGAACGAGAGUUGUGAAACCCUUAGUGUUGGAUCUGGUGCCCUAAGUAUAGUAUUUUCUUUUAAGUACACUUGUAAUUUUUUUAACAGAUUAGUUACUAAAAUUAUUCAUAGAUUACAUUAAUAUAUUUUGUAUAAUUUCCUCAUGUGGUUUUUUGCAUGCAAAGAAAAAUAGAAGCAAAUAUUUCUCACUAGUUGUCUAAUGUUUAAAUUAAUACUAAGCAGUAUUACGUGGUCAGAUCGUAAUAUGGAAAGAUAACUUAGAUUAGUAGAUGAACCUAAUCACGUCCUUAAUAGAAUAGGAAAUUAUAAAAUGGAUUGAAAAAUUAAUAUGUUGUCUAUCAGGUCCAAUUGGGAAGAUGCCUUGUAUUGAACAUUAGAGCAAAUAACUCCAAGAAGAUAGAGACAUAGAUCUGACUGACUGGACUGAUAGUACAUCAGACUGGACCCAAGAAAAUAGAUCCUAAAUUCAUUUAUAAAUUUAUCCACUUGUGACAUUUAUAGUGUGGCAUACCUAAAUCCUGAGUGGAUGACGAAUCAUGUAUGUGUGACUCGUAUACUUUGAUAUAAGUAAAAGCCUGAGUUCGAAUAGAUAAGGAAUUGAAAGUUGGUGCAUUCAGUAUAUAACUUCUACAGUGUGUAACAUUAUUCACAAUAGUGGAAUUCAUAGCCCAAGACACCGGUAAAUGAUAUCAUUUUAUUGGCAUUACAUGGUUGAUAAAAAGUAAAUGUGGCCACAGGUCGUUCGUCUUUGUGAUGAUUGACUUGAUUACUAUUUGAUAGUAAUUGACUUGUAACACCCAUAACCCAUUUCCAUCUCUAGAUUAGGGUUACAGAGUAUUACUACACAUUUCAAAACAUUUAACAACGAGUAAUAUUGAGUUUAUCAAUUAUUUAACAACAUUCAUAAAUAAUUUAGAUUGAAGUCAAACAUACACUUACGAGCUUUAAAUCGAGCCUAUGAGGCCUUAAAAAAUAGUUUAGAAACAAUUAAGGCCAAUUUGAAACAAUUCAGAAAGUUUGGGGAAAAACUAAAAAUUUUCAAAAUAGGGGUCACAUAGUUGUGUGUCUAGGUUUGUGUGAUAGAGCCUAGAUCGUGGGGCUCCGGACAUGGUCAUAUGGCUACUCCACUCAUCCGUGUGGCUAUUCCACAUGCCUAUGUGACUAUUUGUAAUAGCACGAUUUUGGGUCUAGUCGGAAUAGUGGUUUCAAGACCACAAAUCUGAAGUAUAAAAAUUUAUUUUUGUUAUAUUUUUAUGGUCUAUAGUUUUAUGGAAUGAUUUCGUGAAAAUUUUGUUCGAAAAUUUUAACGCUUAGGCACUCAAUUUGGUCAAAAGGACUAAAUUAUAAAAAGUGAAAAAGUUGAGUUCUACAUGCUAGAGGUGUCCAAUUAUUAUGAAAUUUUAAAAUGGAGGUCUUUAAAUGGCAAUUAGACCAUUGGUUAAGUUGUUGGACAAAAAUGGACAUGGUUAGGUAUGUUUUUAAAGUUUUUCAUUAUGGGCAUUUUGGUAAUUUGGUAAUUAAAUGAAUUAAAAGCCAAAUUAAAAGCCAAUUUUUUUCCAUCUUCAAGCUAUGGCCAAAUUUCACAAGGGGAAACCAUGGCUAGGGUUUUUCAAGCUUUCAAGCUCGAUUUUAAGUCCAUUCUAGCCUCGUUUUUAAUGAUUUUUAUGUUUUUGAAAUCCUUGUAACAAGAUCUAUCUAUUUCUACCACUAAUUUUAGAUAUAAUAAAAGUUUAAAUUUUUACCCAUGAUGAAUAUUAGUGUAUUUUGAUGUAUAAUGGUAGAAAAUGCAUGUUAGAUGUUAGAUAAAUGACUUUUGCUAAGUGUUUUUCGGUAAAAAUGUAAAAAAUGACUUGUUUGUAAAAGUUAUGAAAAUGUGUGUAAAUGUGUGAAUAAAAGGAAAAUGUGGGCUGCUAUAAGCAUGUAUAAGGUUUGGCUAGGCAUGGGUAUUGAAGAAAUUAAGUACAUUUCAUUUUACGAGCCUAGGGACUAAAAUGUAAAAAUGUGAAACUUAAGGGGAAAAAAGUAUUUUUUUCCAUAAUAUAAUUUUGGGCUGGUUUGAAUAGCUUAAUGAUUAAAUAAUUUGAAUGUGAUAAUAUAGAUCAAGAAAAAGGAGAUUGGAACUAGAAUGGGGGAAAAACGAGUAUUUGACGAUUAGGUCUUUUUCGCCAUUUUUAUGUCAAGGUAAGUUCAUAUGUUUAAUAAGCAUUAAAUUAUAUAUGUAUUAAUGCUUAAUUGUUAUAUUUGUGAUAAAUUCUAUAUUAUUGAAAUGAAAUGUGAAUAUUAUUGAGUAUGGUAUUACGGAAAUGACCGAUAGCGAUUUGGUACAGUGAGAAAUCCCGUUUGAACCUCAGGAAUAGAUUAGGAUACAAGUGACAUGUCACUAACCAUGAGUUAUGUGAUUUAUGUGAAUCUGGGUGCUGGUCAUGUACAUCCUACCGGUGGUUGGGUAGUCCAGCAUGUGUUGCGGAUACCUGACAGCUUGUAUGAGUAGCCCGUGUAGUUACGUCUUGACUGACAGCUUGUGUGAGCAGGCCUGUGAUUAGCUCGUGUGCGAGCCCUAUGUGUUAUGAGAUAUGAGGUAGCAUUGGAUACAUAUGUGACACUUAUGUGUAAGACCUUCUGUGUAUCCGACAGUGUUUUAAGUGUUCAACGGGUAAUCCGAAGAGUAUGUCAAAGAUGGCAAAGUAUGUGACUAUGUUAUGAAUUUAUACAGAAUGCUCAGUAUCAAGCACACGGGCAGAGACAUAGGCGUCUGUCUCAGCCAUUUGAAGGACACGGCCUUGGGACACGGGCGUGUGCCUUGGCCGUGUGACCUCAAUUUUUUCAUGACGUCAUAAAUAGAGAGUUGCACAGGUUAAGAACACGGGCGUGUUCCUUACUACACAGGUGUGUGCCUCGGUCCAUACGGCCGUAUGGCCCUGUUUCCAUGAGAAAUUUUUUAAGUUUUCUAAAAGUUUUCAAAGUUUUCGGUUUAGUCCUGAACCACUUACGAUGUAUGUUUUGGGCCUCGUAGGCUCGUUUUAGGGACGAUAUGAAUGUCUGUGAAAAGUUUUAAAUUUGGAUGGAAAUUUACGUUUGGUUUUGCUUAUGUUUACGUCUGGUAAUGCCUUGUACCCUGUUCUAGAGUCGAAUAUGGUUAAGAGGUGUUAUAUUUAGUGGUAUCAAUGCCAUGGUUUAGUUGAUUCUCAGGCUAACCUAGCAUGUGUGAGAGUCUAGCUAUGCAUGCCAUAUAGAGCCCGUGAUAGUUUGAUAUCUCUCGACUCUGAUGAAAUUAUUUUGUUGAGACAGAGAUGCUUUCCAAUCGAGCUACUUUCGAAAACGCUGAAAGUGAUACUAAGAUAUUUGUAAAUGUGUUUGUGAUGAGUCAAAACUUGAAAAGGUAUGAAUAAGAGUCCAUGAUAUGUAUGUGAUGACGUAGAAAAUGGAAUAACCAUAAGUUGAGAAAUAUGGUUAAAAUGUCACUGUUCCGGUUGAACGUUGUGUUUCAAUGGAUUAUGGUGAUUUUAUGAAACAAAAUGAAAGUUUAUAUUGUGAUAAACUCAUCUAUGUUUGUUUGGCAUUCAUAUGAUGUUAUGUGCCUAACUUGUUUGACAAAGUGAAUGCAAUGAGUAAACUUACUCAAAAUUUAUGGAAUGUAUGUAUAAGUGCACUUGUUUGAAUAAGAUAAUCAAAAAGUUCGUGUAACAUAAAUAUGUAUGUUAAAUUGCCUAAAGUGGCUUAUAUAACUGUGAUGAUAUUAUAAUGAUGAUGAAUGUUAAGUCACAUGUGUAUAUAUAUGAGAGUCGAGUUAGAGGCUUUACGACCUCACCCCCUUACCAAUGUGGUAUUUUAUUGUGAAAUUUCACGAGAUUUAUGUUGAAUGAGUUCACAAGUGAGAGACUAAAGAGUUCAGUAGCGGAAUAACUAAUAAUGUGGUCAAAGUUGAAAAUAUCUUGGCAAGUGAAUACAGUUUUGGAAAAAAUGCCAGGUUAUUCUAAAGAUCAUUUGGAUUUCGUAAUGUCACAGUUAAAGAAAGAGUUAAUCUUGGCUAAUCGACUCAUUCAAGUAUAAUGUCUAAAGUAUGUAUUUGCUGGAAUUUCUUCUAGAUUGAUUUUCAUUAGUGAAUGGAAUAAUACGGGAUUAGUGAUGACAAAAUUAGUCAGAGAAAUAAUAUUUGAAUUGUAAAGAUGUUUGAGUGUAACAGUUGAAAUUGAAUAGAUUAUGAUGACCUCUCCUGGGUAUUUUAUAUAUUCACUUAUCCUUAGAGAUAUAUGUGAUUGUUCGUUUUCUGAUGAAAUUCUUAUCGUAUGAGAAUGCUAGUUGAUAAUAAUGUUAGAUGAAAGCACUAUUGUUUUGGUUGGUUGAUGAUCAGCAUAUCUUAUCUCCUUCUUUGGGGUUCUAUUCUAUUAUGUUUGGAAUAAUAGUUGAUGGUGCAAAUUCAUGUGAGGCUAUCCUUUUGUUUCUACUGGAUGUUGUUUUAUUUUAUAUAUAUUUGGAAAAUAUAUUAUCUCUGUUACAAUUGAUUCCAAAACAUGUAAGCAUUGUUUUCUUCUGGUUUUCUUUGAGGAAUCAUCAAGAUAUUUAUUAUUUUCAUAUGAAUUAUGUUCUCGGACUUCCAGUAUGGUAUCACAUCCUGGAUUUCUUUAUCUCGGUUUUCUUAUCAUCCUUAUUUCGUAAAUUAUCAAUCAUGGCUCGUCUUUAAAGUGUGUUCUUUGGCCUGUGAUAGCUAUGUCUAUUAUGGGUGUAUUUCUGGUUCGAUCAUAGGAACGUGGUGAUUUUGGUAUUAGGAUUUCUUUGAUUUUCGUGAAAGGAAUUGACAUCGGAAAAGGUAUAGAUAGUGGAAGCUCAAGCUCAAAUUGAAUGAUGGUUUUCAUUUCUCAGUUGAGAUCGACUCAGUUUUUUUUAUCUGAGCGAGCUGGUCAGUUGAAAGGUAAUUUGAGUUAUAUGCAUUUAAGUUUAUCCUCAAGUAAGAAAAUAAAAUCUUGUACAUUUAUGGUGAAUAAACGAAUAGUUUUAAGGAAGAGUUCAUAUUCUAAAAAGUAUGAUACAGAGGUAUACCUAUUAGAUUUGUUCUAAUUGAAUGAUGUUGUUAUGAGUUAAAACUGUUCCAAUUGAUAAAAUUAUCACAUUUGUGAAAGUUUGAAUGGUCCGUUGCAUGUUAAAAGUUGAAAACAGUUGAAGGUGUUAUUAACUGAAACACUGGUUCUGGGUUCUGUUUGCAUUGAUGUAAAUAAUUAGUGACUUUUCAUUUCUGCACUAUCGAACAGAUUAGAAUGUGUCUUAAUACAAGAGUAUAAAGUGAUAGUUUAUGCUUUUUGAUGAUUAAAAUCUCAUUAAAAGAAUUGUCCGAUGGGUGAUUUAGAGUCAACCACUAUUAUGUCUGUGUUGAAGUUGAUGACAUCGUUUGUUCGAUGAAAAAUGACAUAUGCUUCUUGAUUCCAAGAGUAUAAAUGUAAUACCCUUAACCCAAAUCCGUAGCCAGAUUUGGGUUACGAGGCAUUAUAAGACGAAAUCACAUUUCUCAUAAUUCUCAAGCUCAAAUAACAUCUCACCACUUAUUCAAAAAUGUCAAGUCAUUACAUAAAUAUAUAUCACAUAUCCAAUUAAAUAAAUCAUGAAUCAUUAUGAAACAAGUAGCCUUAAUUCACUUAAUCACAUAAAUCAAAUUUUCACAAUACAAACCAUGCUCCAAAACUCAACCAAGCCAUUACCAUUUACUUAUUCAAAUAUUCGAAUCAAAUAAGUAAUAUCCAUAUCCUAUUUCUUAUACUUCAUAAAUUCAAUGUUCAAAGCAUAUAUCCAUCAUGUCAUGGCAUUUGAAUACCAACUUGAAUAGAAACCAUUUUUCAAUCCAUAAAUAUCAAAUGCGCACAUAUGGACCAUUUAGCUAAUGAAAAUUAAACAUACUUUACUACUGUAAUACAUAUACUUUAUUACUCCAAUAACCGAACCAUAUAUUCAGCAUACAGGAUAUUCGAACUUCUAUUUAAUAAUCAAACAUGUCAAUUCAUAACAUUAUACAUAUGCAUGUUAAACCAAUUUGACCAUAUCAUCAUGGCUUAAUAUUCAUUUGCACAUAUAAACUUAAGUAACUUUAUAUCAUAACUAACUAAACUUUUAACAUUGUCAUACCAUGCGCAUAACACCUUUAAGCCAUUUCUAAAUACAAUUAUCAAAACGUAGCAUAUUAACCUUAUAACCUUUUUUGCACAUUUUACCAAAUCAAAUUUAACCAUUUUUGAACACAAUUGUCCAGUCAUACCAUACCUAAUUCUCAAACUCAAUAACAUAUUUAUCCAUGUCGUAUUCAACCACACACAUGGACCACAUACCAAAGCUGAAUUUAUUACAACAUAUGUAUAUCACACAUUUUUUUAAUCAAAUGUUAUAUAAGCAAUUUGACCAUUACUUGUCGAAUAACCCAAACUUCGUGACACAAGCAUAGAUUUUAUUUAAUUAUCAUCAAUCGAAUAUAAUAGAUCAUCAAUUAUCAUUUCCAAACCAAUAUAUAAACAAAUUUUGCAUCAAAAUAUAGAUUAAUAAUAAACCACACUAAAUACCCAAAUUCACAUAGCUUAGCAUAGUCAUUACAUAGUAAAUAUAAACACAUACCAACAUUAUCAUACAACCAAAUCAUUAACCACAUUGCCAUCACUCAAUAUUUUAAGCUAAAUAUGCCAUCUCAUAACUUAACAUCAAAAUAAUAUAUCAGUUAUUUUUAUUCAAAUGACCAUCAAACAUACCCAAAAUAUAAUCACCAUUUUACCAUAUUACUAAGCCAAAUUAUACCAUUUUCCAUGCCUUCAAAAUGAGCUACUAGUAAGCCGAAUAUACAUCUUACUUACCAUUCCUCAUUGCUGAAUCAUAUAACCAACAUCAAGACCAAAUAUAAACACCAACAUUAGCAUCAUGAUCAUGAUCAAGCCAUUUUCGCAUGGCUAUACACAAACAAAUUUCAAAACCACAUAUAUCAAAACUAGCCUAUACAUGCCACAUAACCAAAUUUCAAGUAUUUAUUUACCAAAACAAAUAUUGGAUAGUGUGAUGAUGUCUCCCAUGACUUACAACCCGAGCAAGUCUUUGAAAAUCUAUAAGCAUAGAAAAAAAAUACACAGAGUAAGCUUUGAUAGCUUAGUAAGCCACAAGCAAAUAAUUCAUCACUAGAACAUGUAUAAUUCAACCCAAAUAGGCCAAGUUUAGUUAAUUUCAUACACAUAUGCAAUCACUUUUCUCAUAUAAUCCAUAUCACUGCCUUAAGAAAUUUCACUUAUCUUAUUGAUAAACCGUAAUUUAUACAUAUUUUUAUCCCAUGCUUAGCGCAUUUAUGGAUGGUUUCUCUUUAGAUUUGGUGACUUCAAUAUUCCUAAUUCUUUAAUUUCAUGUUUUAUACUCAGGUGAGCAUAGGAAAGUAAAAGAGCGACAAACGGGCCAAAAACGAAGAAAAUGGACCCACAUGAGAAAUCAACAUGGCCUGGACUUCCUCACACGGACGUGUCACACAGCCGUGUCCAUUUGGCAGGAUCGAAGCACGACUUACACGGGUAGACUACAUGCUCGUGCCUGUUCAACAGCCUUUACCACAGGCUGGAGUAAUCGCACACGGGCGUGUCCCUGCCGAGCCCAAGUAUAGUCCUAUUCGAAAAAAGCCACUUGUGAGGGCUCUUAGGCAUUCUAAAGCCUAUUUAAACACCUGAGGAGGCACUUAGAAGACACACAUGAAGUAGGAAGCAAGGAAUUACUCAAGGGAAGCCGAUUGGUCCAUCUCAGAAGUCGGAUUCAUCGUUAAGACUGAAGAUCUCCCUUCAAUUUCUAUUCAGGGGUUUUGGGUUUUCUUUAUGUUUUGUAUUCAUUAUUCUUUUGAGAUGUUUCCUUUUUUAAUUAUGAACUAAACCUCCUAAAUACCUAAGGGGAAUGAAACCGAAGACAGAUCUUGUUAUUAUUAUCUGAAUUGUAUGAUAAAUAUUUGACUUGUUCUUAAUUAUGUGUUCUUAAUUCUUGUUUUAAUAUUCCAGGAUAUUGAUCCAAGUUAAUGCUCUUAUUCAGAGGAGGAAAAGACCCUGUCUAAGAGUAAAUUUGUCGUAAUUAAGUGGAGUUGAUUGCAUGCCUAGAGAUAGGGUGAUAAGAUUUUUUCAGAUUAGGGUGAAACCUAAUAAGAGGAUCCAUAGAUCGAGUUAAUGCAACACUAGGGCAUUAAUUUAGAAAGAGAUUUCAAUUAAUCAACCUAGGGUUAGACGUUAUUAGUCUCAAGAGAGAUAAUAAUAUAACUUAGGGAUUUCUACAGAUCAAGUCAAAUGAAUAAAUCGCCUGAUUCAGAGUCAAAUAACAAGUGAAGUCUAGGUGGAUUUUUCCUUGGGUAUUGUCUUAAUCAAUCGAAUUUUCCCAAAAGCUUUUCCCUAAUUUCUCUCUGUACACUCUUAGUUUAGUUAAUCAGUUUAGAUAAACAAAUCCCUUAAUUUUUAGACUAGAUAAUAAAAAGAAAGUAAUUACUAGUACUUUUGGUUCCUUUGGGUUCGACAAUCCGGUCUUGCUAAAGCUAUACUACUGUUCGAUAGGUACACUUACCUUCAUCGUGAUAAUAGUUAGUUUCAAGAAUGAUUAAUUAUAAAUUUUUAAAACUUGUUGCGAAUAUCACGUAUCAAGUGUUUGGCGCCGUUGCCGGGGAACUAAGAUAUUAGUAACACUCAAUUUUUAUUACUUUAGACAUUUUACUUUUAUUGCAAUUUAAAUUUUUAUUUUCUUUUCUAAUUCUUCAUUUAUUUUCUUCUGACAGGUUUUUUGUAGUUUAUGACCAGAAGAAACCCGUCAGGGCCACUACUUUUUGACGGUGAGAUCGACCACAUAGUUCGCAGAAACCGAAGAGAAUAAGGCGAAGCCUAAGAUACACAGAGGAAGAGCAAGAGGACGAUAUUCAUGCCACAACCAAGGAGAUGGUCGACAACUAGGAAAAUCUGCUACCUCCUGCAAUUGCUGCUAAUCAGAAUCUUGCUCCACGCACUAUGUAUGAUUAUGCUAAACCUUAUUUAACAGGAACUGAAUCGAGCAUAGUUAGGCCUGCUGUUGCUGCAAAUACUUUUGAAUUGAAACCUAACACAAUUCAAAUGAUACAGUAAUUUGUUCAGUUUGAUGGUUUGCAGGACGAAGAUCCCAAUGCUCACUUGGCAAACUUUUUGGAACUAUGUGAUACAUUUAAAAUUAAUGGUGUUUCUUAUGAUGCCAUUCGCCUUCGAUUAUUCCCUUUUUCAUUAAGGAACAAAGCUAAACAGUGGUUGAACUCAUUACCACAAGGGUUAAUCACUACCUGGGAACAAAUGACCGAAAAGUUUUUAUUAAAAUAUUUUUCGCCGGCUAAAAUAGCUAAAUUACGUAAUGAUAUCCCUUCUUUUAUGUAGAUGGAUUUAGAAACACUCUAUGAUACAUGAGAGAGAUACAAUGACCUUUUGAGAAGGUGCCCUCACCAUGGGUUACCACUCUGGCUACAGGUUCAAACGUUCCACGACGGCCUGAAUCCUUCGACUAGACAGAUAAUUGACACAGCUGCUGGUGGAACUAUCAAUAAUAAGACACCUGAGGAUGCUUAUGAAUUUAUAGAAGAAAUGUCAUUGAAUAAUUAUCAGUGGCAAGUCAUGAGGACAAAGCCAACAAAAGCGGCUGGCGUUUUUAACGACGAUUCAGUCACAAUGCUCUCCAAUUAGGUAGAACUUUUGAAUAAAAAAUUGAUGGUUUUCUUGGUUUUUCACAGGUUCACCCAGUAAUGCAGUGCGAAGCAAUUGGAGGUAGAUCAAGCAAUUCAGAAUAUCCACCCUAUGGCCACAACAUGGAGAACGAGAAGUUAAAUUACAUGGGUAAUAAUCCUCGAUCUCAAAAUAAUCCUUAUAGUAAUACUUACUAUGCAGGUUAGAGGAACCACCCAAAUUUCUUAUGGGGAGGCCAAGGGAAUCAGAGACCACCACCACCUCUAGGCUUCCAACAACCACCCUACCAACAAGAGAAAAAACCAAACCUUGAAGAGAUGCUAACAAAAUUCAUCUCGGUGCCAAAAACUCAUUUUUAGAAUAUCGAGACAACACUUAAAAAUCAACAAGUGUCGAUCCAAGGGCUCAAAACUCAAAUAGGUCAGCUCGCUAAAUUGAUAUCUGAACGACCACAAGAUAGCCUACCGAGUAACACUAAAUCUAACCCAAGGGAGCAAAUCAAUAUAAUUACCAUUCAAGAUGAGGAAGGGUUAGUUGCACCUGAACCAGAACCGAGGCAAGAAACUGUGGUAAGUAAAGGUAAGGGUGAGGUGGACAACAAUGACCAGAAACCGGUAAGUAAAGAAUACAAACCUCGUGUACCAUACCUAAACGCGACAAGGAAAGACCGCACAAAAGAACAAUUUGGUGAAUUCCUUAAAUUAUUAAAGAAGUUACAUAUUAACUUACCGUUUAUUGAAGCUCUUUCACAGAUGCCAAACGCAGUCAAAUUCUUAAAAGAGCUUUUAACAAAUAAACAGAAGUUGGAUGAAGCGUCGCAUGUGGAACUAAAUGCAAUUUGUUCAGCCAUACUAUAUAAUAAGCUAGCCAAAAAAUUAAAAGAUCCAAGGAGUUUUACGAUUCCCUGUUUAAUUGGUAGCCUAGAUGUUAAUAAUGCUUUGGCUGAUUUAGGGGCUAGUAUUAAUGUCAUGCCUUACAAAUGUUUAAGCAACUAGGUCUUGGGAAACCCAAACAAACUAGGAUGAGUAUACAAUUAGCCGAUAAAACAAUUAGAUUUCCUAGAGGGAUUAUUGAAGAUGUACUCGUUAAAAUUGACAAAUUUAUAUUCCUAGUUGAUUUCGUUGUUCUAGACAUAGAAGAGGAUAGUAAUGUUCCUUUAAUUUUAGGGAGGCCCUUUUUAGCAACUGCUAGAACAAUAAUUGAUGUUGGCACAGGAGAACUCACACUUCGUGUGGGAGACGAAACAAUCACCCUUCAAGCUCGUAAUUCGAGGAACACAUCGAAAAUUGAAGGUGGUUGUAUAAAUCAUUCUAUUAAAACUGACCAUGUGGUGCAACCUACUUUGCAGGAAAUAAGUUCGAAGAACCUAUACGAGCCAUGUUCAAGCAACAACAACAGACCUAUCUAUGAAGAACGUAGGCUACAAAUCAAGGAACUAGAUUAAUGGCGGACACAUAAAUCGAGGACACACGAUAAACCAAAACCAUGCCAUGACCAGCUCAAUAUCGCACCAAAUCAACUUAAGGUUGGAGACAAAGUACUACUAAAUGCAGCAGACCAUCGUAUUGCAACUUCUGAACCUAACGGAGCAAUCCUUCUUGCGGUACUCAGUAUUUUCCCAUAUGGUACAAUCGAGGUAAUUCACCCCAAAUUCAGCACUUUUAAGGUAUAAAAUACUUGUCUUAAACCUUAUUUUGAUAAAAUUGAUAGCAGGGAUGAGGAGUGUAAACUCCUCGCACCACCGUGACCAUGCACCAGAAAGGUAAGUCGAGCUUAGGCUAUAAAUAAGCGCUUCUCGGGAGGCAACCCUAGCACUAAUGAUGCCUCUUUAAAAUUUUAGUUUUUAACAUCUAAUCACCAACUAAAUCAUUGAAACAUAGGUUUUCUAAUCCACACGACCUGGCACACGGGCGUGCCUUAGAUCGUGCUCGCACCAUGGGAGGAGACACGGUUGUGCGAUACGGCCGUGUGAAAACAAGGUAAAAUCUUUCUCAACACGAGUUUUGAUAAGUAGCCACGGCCGUGCGACAUGGCCGUGGUCGAGUCUGUCAAACCAACACGAGCGUGUGACACGCCCGUGUCUUUACACCGUGGUUGAAAUUGAGAAUUGAGCACGGGCGUUCGACAUGCCCGUGCCUACCAACUGUGCUCAAGACUAAUAAAAUAACACAGGCGUGGACAUCCAUACAUGGGCAUGGGAGAAGCGAACAAAGCAGAACAUGGACCACAGCCAGGCGACAAAACCAAGUGCACCAACACGCCCAAAGAGCACGGGCGUGUGUCGACUCUCAACGAGCCCAAAUUUAAAAAAUCGUAAAACAAACGGGAAAAAAUUAGGCACACCCGUGUGCCCCAAAAUCUAUAAAUACCCCUCACUAUUCAUCAUCCCCUUCCCCAAAACCCCUAACCCUAGCCGCUGCAACAUCACACACCCUAUCUGCCACGCUCGUGUGCCGACCACAACACCGCUUUCGACGACCCAAAGUUUCUCCCUCUUGCGUUUGUUCAUUUUUUCUCUCUAUUCUCUUCAUCCUUUUACUUAUUUCAUGAUAUUUUGUUUUAUUUUGAGUAAAUAAUCGUAGUUAUUAUGAUAGAAUCCUUAUGCCCUUUGUUAAAAAAAUUGUCGUCUUAGUCAAUACAUUUUGCUACACUCAUCCAUUUUUCUUGUUUCCAUAGAGUUCAUGCUUACCUACACCAUAUUUCAUUCUUAUCAAACUCACAUGCAUUCAUUUACUAGAUGUUUUUGUUUGCAUUACUCUCGUAGUCCUAUUCAUAAUAAUGACGUGAUAUAUCUGCUUUGGUUGUUUUAGUAUACUUUUCAUUUAGUACGUAAGCCCAUGAAAUAUUCUUUUUCAGUUUUAACACGCGUACAUCCUUGGGGAAUACUUAACUUUGACUUUUCAUUGCAGGUAUACAAUGUUAUCCUCACAUGGUAAGAAGACCACUGUCCCCACCUCGAAUAAGAGAAAAGGAGCAGCGUCAUCCUCGGGUCCUACCGCUGAGAUCCGUCACCCUUUCCUCCAGUUCCCCUUGGGACCCCAAGAGGAGCUAUUUCAGAUAUUACGGGCCUGACUCCUAGGUGUGGGCCGUUGCAUUUACUGGGCUGCACUUGAGCAAAUUCAGAUGGCUAACGCGGUCCGAGCCCUCCUGACGACUGAAUCGUGGGGGCUCUUCUUUGAGAUCAUUGAGCCGAUAUACCUCGAGCUCACAAUGGAACUCUGCUCGACCUUCCAUCUUUAAGUUGUCAUGACAAACUUUGACGAUCCUGGAACGAUCCAGUUCCGCCUUGGUGGUCUAGUGUGCUAGUUGAGCGUACUGGAGUUUGGAAUUGCACUUGGGCUGUACAUGGAGGAGUUCAUGGACGACAAUGAACUCGACACUCUCCAUCGCCACAUCCACUACUCCCCCUCAAAAUGCUGGAAGGACCUUGUCCAUGCCUCGGCCACUUAUGAUCCUAGCCACUCUAAGGCAUCGGCCCUUACCCAAUCCCUACGAUACCUACACGCCAUCUUGGCCCACACUCUGACAAGACAGCGAGAGAGCACAGGUUUCAUCAACACUCACGACGCCUAUUUCUUCUGGAGAAUGGCGAAUGGGUAUGUCUUCGACCUUCCCUAUUUCAUUGCUCUCUCCAUUCGCCAUCAGACAGAACGACAUAGGAGAGGAGUCAUCUCGACCGGGCCUUAUGUGACUCGAUUGGCUUGGUACUUCGGGCUCUUCAACACAGCAGUACAAUCGUCCUCCCUCAUUCUCAUCGGCCAGAUGUCCCCAUAAGGCAUCUCGAGCAUGCUACAUAUGAGGAUGAUCGAGAAACGACAUGGCACCUACCCUCAUCAGUACCGCCUCAUCCAGUCUACCGAGGAGGAGGACCCAAAGGGCAUUACUGAUGAUGUCCCUCCACGUCAUGAGAACCCACCAUCUCAGCCACCACCCAUCCAUCGUCUAGUUCAUACGGUGACUUUAUACUCUGACAUCUCUGAGCGCCUUACUCGAUUUGAGCACCAGGGUUUUCAACGCUUUGAUCACAUUGAUGACACUCUUCAUCAGAUUUGUCAGCACCUUCACAUCUCAUCGCCACCACCACCUUGCGAACCAUUCGGCGAUGACGAUGUUUAAAAACUUUUUAUUUAUUAUUUUUAUUUUCACUUUUAUCUUUAUUUAUCCUCUUUAAGUACUUUUUAUUUAUUUUCCUUUAAUAUUAUUUUAAUUUUAGGUUUUAUAAUUUUUAUUGAAUAAUUUAUAAUUUCGGCUAUUUCAUUAUGAGUAAUUAUGCUUCCUUAUGUUUCCUAAAGAGUUCUUAAUUUUAUCACACUUAUAAAGAGCUCCAUAGCUCAUCAUCACUUAGGAACUAAAAAUUCCAAUGGAAAAGGUUCUCCACGACUGCCAUGUCUUGCUCAACCACGACCAUAGCUACUACCAGAUAUAAUAUUCUUUUGGCAUAGGACUUAUGCACUAAUGAACCUUACCACCACCAGAUUAUCCUCCUCCACUCUCAUCAUUGCCUUGGCCGAUUAUUCUCCAUAACUCCAAUUCAGGGAGUUCAUUCAUCAUUCAGGAAGUUUCAUUUCUCUCCCUAUCUUAUGAUUAUAUAUCUAUAUUUUUCAAUAUAUCUAUCUUUGUACAUUGAGGGAAAUGUAUAUCUUAACUGUGGGGGGUCUUUUAUAUCAUCAUCAAAAAUCCCUGAAUUUUGUCUUAUUGUCACGUGAAUCUCUCAUAUCACUAUUAGAAUGAAUUUUAAUUAAUCUAUGAUUUUUAUUGAUAUGUCUUGAAUUAAAACAUAGGCAUUUAUGCAUUGACUGUUUAAACUUUAAGACAUUAAAGAAUCAAGCAUGAUAAGUUGAUUUUUGAAGAAUUAAAAACUUUUAGGUUAUUUCCCCAAAGUUUAGAUAUUAUCUUGAGUUGAAAUUCACAAGUUUAAACAUAAAAAAGCCACAAUUUUUGUGAGAUCUUGAGCCUUUAGAGCAUAUUUUAUUUCUUUCAUGCUCACUUUUAUUAUGAGUGCGUCAGUAUUGAUUGUUAUUCUAGACCUUGCUUGAUUAUGCAUGUUAAGGCCACACCAUUUGAUUUGAUAUGUCGAGAUGAUAAAGGCACUUAGGUUUAACCCACUCACUCCAAAAAAGCCUACCUUCAUAAUUAACCCUUAGUGAACCCCUUUGAGCCUAACAAGCCAUCAAUUGACUUACCCUCAAUUGUAAACCAUAACCCAUUAUUAUUGAAAUCCCCUAAUUUGAUCCCUAUUUUUGUCGAGAUUUGAUUUGAAUUAAUUGCUUAGCUAUGUUUUAUUCUUCGUUGCAACAAUUAAGUUCUAUGUUAUUUGACUUGUUCUUAAAAAAAACAAUAACAAUAACAACAAUACUUACAUACAUAUUAGUAGUAAUUCGUCAUUUUUGAGCUUGAGUGUUAAUUCCAUAUUCAGAGAAGAAGCUCACUUGUAUUCAACCGAUAAUUAGUUAUUUUUCUAGUUAGGUGAUUUCUUCAAUUCAAUCUCGAUUCUAACCUUUUCUUUCAGCUUGUGACCACACCCCCUAACCAAAGCCACGUUACAACCCUUUAAAGACCUUUUUGAUUAAUGUAUCAUCUCAAUAUAUAGUGGUGGAGAUUUGAUUUUCAAGCAAGCCUAUGGUAAUAAUUUUUCAUAUUGACUAAUAAGUGUUUUAUUUGAUGUCCUUAAACAUCUCGAGUGAUUUGAGUGAACCUUUAGUGAAGAUGUUAAACUCUGUGAUAUUUUGAUCAAAGGUGAUUACUUAGAUGAGGGGAGACACCUAUGUUUUCGUUAUAAAAUACUAAACUUGGAAUGUUUGAAACUUUGAUGUACUUUUAGUUGAAUUUUCAAUGUAUGAUUACUUAUGGAUUAUUUUGAGAUAUUGUUGAUAGGGAUUAUAAAUUGGGAAUAAUUUAUUUUGAUUGUGAGUUGAGGAUUUUGCUUGAGGACAAGCAAACGCUUAAGUGUGGGGGUAUUUGAUAAAUAAUAAUUUAUACAUAUUUUUAUCCCAUGCUUAGCGCAUUUAUGGAUAGUUUCUUCUUAAAUUUGGUGAAUUCGAUGCUCCUAAUUCUUUAAUUUCAUGUUUAUACUCAGGUGAGCGAAGGGAAGUAAAAAGAGUGAGAAAUGGGCCAAAAAUAGAGAAAAUGGACCCACAUGGGAAAUCAACACGGCCUGGACUUCUUCACACGGGCGUGUCAUACGGCCGUGUCCAUUUGGCAGGAUUGAAGCACGACUUACACGGGUAGACUACACACCCAUGCCUGAUCAACAGCCUUGACCGUGGGCAGGAGUAAUCGCACACGGGCGUGUCACACGGCCAUGUCCGUACCGAGCCCAAGUAUAGUCCUAUUCAGAAAAGGCCACUUGUGAGGGCUCUUAGGCAUUCUAAAGCCUAUUUAAACACCUGAGGAGGCACUUAGAAGAUACACACGAAGUAGGAAGCAAGGAAUUACUCAAGGGAAGUCGGAUUCAUCGUCAAGAUUGAAGAUCUCCCUUUAAUUUCCAUUUAGGGGUUUUGGGUUUUCUUUAUGUUUUGUAUUCAUUAUUCUUCUAAGAUGUUUCCUUUUAUAAUUAUGAACUAAACCUCCUAAAUACCUAAGGGGAAUGAAACCUAAGAUAGAUCUUGUUAUUAUUAUCUGAAUUGUAUGAUAAAUAUUUGACUUGUUCUUAAUUAUGUAUUUUUAAUUCUUGUUUUAAUAUUCUAGGAUAUUGAUUCAAGUUAAUGCUCUUAUUCAGAGGAGGAAAAGACCCUAUCUAAGAGUAAAUUUUUCAUAAUUAAGCGGAUUUGAUUGCACGCCUAGAGAUAGGGUAAUAAGAUUUUGUCAGAUUAGGGUGAAACCUAAUAAGGGGAUCCAUAGAUCGAGUUAAUGCAACAUUAGGGCGUUAAUUAGAAAGAGAUUUUAAUUAAUCAACCUAGGGUUAGAUGUUAUUAGUCUCGACAGAGAUAAUAAUAUAACUUAGGGACUUCUACGGAUCAAGUCAAAUGAAUAAAUCGUCUGAUUUAGAGUCAAAUAACAAGUGAAGUUAGGUGGAUUUUUCCUUAGGUAUUGUCUUAAUCAAUCGAAUUUUCCCAAAAGCUUUUCCCCAAUUUCUCUCUGUGCACUCUUAGUUUAGUUAAUUAGUUUAGAUAAAUAAAUCCCUUAAUUUUUAGGCUAGAUAAUAAAAACAAAGUAAUUACUAGUACUCUUGGUUCCUUUGGGUUCAACAAUCCGAUCUUGAUAAAGCUAUACUACUGUUCGAUAGGUACACUUGCCUUCAUCGUGAUAAUAGUUAGUUUUAAGAACGAUUAAUUAGAAAUUUUUAAAACCUAUCGCGAAUAUCACGUAUCACUUAUUUAUCCAUGAACAUAUAAACCAUGCUUUCAAAUUAGAGUAAUAACCAUUAGCUCAAUUAUAUAAAUCAAGUUUGCACAUAUUCAUUACAUAACCAACCAAAACAUGUCAUGUUUCACUAGCCAAUUUACAUAUAUACAAACCAUACAUCAUAACACCACCGUCUCGAUAUCUAUUUCAUAUCCAAUUUUCAAAUCAAAACAGUAUAUCUCAAAACCAUGUUUCUUGUUUCAUAUUUCUCAUGUUCGAAUCAUAGAACCACAAGGUCAUAUAAUGAUCACAUAUAACACACAUUCAUUUGUAUACAUUUCUUUCAUUCAUGAUAAUAUAUUUCACAUAUCGUCAUUAGAAACAUUUUCACCUUCCAUUUUUGAAUUUCAUAUACAAUUCACACGUACUAGAAUCAUAUAUGGUAAAAAUGUAACACCCCCAUGCCCGAGACCAUCGUCGGAGUCGAGCUUGAGGGGUUACCGAACAAUAUUUAUCACAUUAAGAACUUCAAAUCAUUUAUUUCUACAUUCACAGCUUUCUAGCUACCCACAUCACAGUUACAAGAAAAAUCAUAUCUCGAGUUACAAAACUCACAAUCAAGAUCUGUAAAUUUUCCCUGAAUCUAGACUCACAUAUCUAUUUACUAAUUUUUUUUCUAGAAUUUUUGGUAGGGCCAAUUAGUACAGUUUAUUAGUUAAAGUCUCCCCUGUUUCAGCGUUCGACUGCUCUGACCACUGUGUAUUACGAAUCAGAUAUUUCUCCAUACAGAAUUUAAAUGACUAUGAGGUUUGUUUCUCUUAAAGCUAGACUUAAUAAGGAAUCUGUACAUAUAAAGAAAAACUUCUAAUUAUUUUUUUAAAAUUUAUUAUGAAUUUUUUUAAAGUCAGAACAGGGGAUCCAGAAAUCACUCUGGCCCUAUUUCACAAAAUUUUAAAUAUCUCAUGAAAUAUAAUUUAUAUGCCUGUUUUGUUCAAUCCACAUGAAAAUAGACUUAUUAAGCUUCAAUUUCAUAUCUUACUCAUCAUUUAGUUCCAUUUAUACUAUUUUUAGUGAUUUUUCAAAUUCAUGUCAUUGCUGUAGCAAUAUUCUGUUUUAAGGCAAGUUUCAUCUUUCCAUGAAUUUUUAUGAACUAGAUAACCUAUUAAAUUUCCAUAAUAUCAAACAUGAUCUAAAUUAGCCAUCACCAUGACUUAUCAAUAUCAAAAAUUUUCUCAACCAAACAUGGCCAUAUCAUAAAAUUAUUUACACAAAAUAAGUAUAUUGCUAUACAUGCCAUACUUAAGUUUUACAAGCCAUUUACCCAGAUGAAAGUCCUUUGGAUAGUGUGAUCGAACCUUCGACCCGUCCCGAUUCCCGAGCUGGCUUGUUCAAAAAUACAGUAAAUAAAGAGGAGGGAGUAAGCAUAAAUGCUUAGUAAGUUCAUAUGUAAAUAACAAGUAACAUAACAAUACAAAUAUACCAAACAACUUUAGCAUGGUAUCACCAAAACAUAUAUCACAUUUCUAAACAUCAUUCAUCAUCUUACCACCUUAUCGUUGUUGUAUCUAUUUUCAACCCGAGGGUUAAGAACAUACCUGUCCAAAGUGUCCAUUUCACAACACUUACCAAAACAUCGCUUCAUCUUAAGUGUUCUUCCAUUUCACUAGAAAUUUCACCCGUUGAACACAUCGGAAGACAACUCGGAUACACGGAUAAUUUGCACAUAAGUGCCUCAUAUGUAAUCAAGAAAUCAUGUAACUCGCGCCUAAGUGAACUCAGACUCAACUCAACGAGCUCGAGCGUUCGCAUCCAUAAGUGAACUCGGACUCAACUCAACGAGUUCGGAUGCCUAGUUACAUUUCACGAACUCGGACUCAACUCAACGAGUUCGGACAUUCGCAUCCAUAAGUGAACUCGGACUCAACUCAAUGAGUUCGGAUGCUCAACCAUCCUAGUGACAUGUCACUUGUAUCCUAAUCUAUUCCUAAGGUUCAAACGGGCUUUUUCCCUCGAUCUCACAUUUGCCUUCUUCCAUGGAAUAACGGAACCGAUACUCGGUAGCAAUUCAUAUUUAUCAAGUAGUAAACAUAAUUUGCAUAUUACUCAAUAUUAAGCACAAAGCAUAAUAUUUCACGAUUAAAAAUCAACAUAUCAUAUAAUUAACAUUAAUAACUUAAAAAUAACAUUUAUGCUACAUUAUUUACACAUGAACUUACCUUGGUACCAAAAUAUAAAGAUUUUGCAAUUUAGUCCACAAUCUUUUCUUUUCCUCGAUCGCGACUUGAAUCUCGUUUCUCUUGAUCUAUAAUACCAAAUUAAUCUUAUUUAAUACAUACAUUCAUCAAAAUAGCAUUUAAUACGAACUUUGAAAAAAUUACACUUUUACCUCUAAACUUUUACAUAAUUACACUUUUGCCCCUAGGCUCGGGAAUUAAAAUUUAUUCCUUAUUCUUAUGUUUUAUAACAUGCUGAUCACUUUUCCCUUCUAUGGCAACAUCAAAUUCUCUCUCUAACAUAUACUUGUGACUAUUAGUAUUUUUGCCGAUUAAGCCCUUUUACUCGUUUUCACUCAAAACCGAGUAGCACAAGUUGUCUAACAUAAUUUAAAACCUCAUAUUCUAUCAUAAAACAUCAAAAUACACAAAUUUCACCUAUGGGUAUUUUUCCAAAUAUGAACCCUAGGUUGAAUUAUUGCUAGCAUAAGCUUAAUCGAGCUACUUGGAUUCCAAAAACGUAAAGAACAUUAAAAACGGAGCUUGGAAGCUUGAAACAAACCCUAGCUAUGGAGAACCCUUGAAAUUUCGGCCUAAUGAAGAAGAUGGACAAAAAUUGGCUUUUAAUUUUGUUUUUAAUUCAUUUUAAUAACUAAAUGACCAAAAUACCCUUACUACUAAACUUUCCAAAAAUUACUUCCAUGUCCUAAUUUUUUCCAUGAACUUAAAAUUGGUCAAAUUUCUAUUUAAGACCUCCUCAUUAAUAUUCCAAAACAAUUUCAUACUAAAAACUUCUAUAAUUCAAGUUUUGCAACUUAUUCGAUUUAGUCCCUACUUUCAAUUUAAGCACUUUAGGCAUAGAAUUUCAUCACGAAAUUUUCACACAAUCAUGCAAUCAUAUCAUAAUCAUCAAAAUAAUUAUAAAAUAAUUAUUUCUGUCUCAGAUUUGUGGUCACGAAACCACUAUUCCGAUUAAGCCCUAAUUCAGGAUAUUACGACUCUCCCCCCCUUUUAAGGAUUUUCGUCCUCGAAAAUCUUACCGGUAAACAGGUGUGGAUAUUGGUUUCUCAUAGUUUCUUCAGGUUCCCAUGUAGUCUCUUCUAUCCCAUGCUUUUACCACAACACUUUCACAAGUGCAACACUUUUAUUUCUUAGUUGUUUGACUUCUCGAGCUAAAAUCUUAAUCGGUUCUUCUUCAUAAGUCAUAUCUGGUCGUAGUUCAACUUCUGUCAGUGAAAUUAUAUAUGAAGGAUCCGAAUGAUACUGACGUAACAUAGAUACGUGAAAUACAUCAUGAAUCUUCUCUAAUUCAGGUGGUAGCGCUAGCCGAUAUGCUACCGGUCCAACUUUUUCAAUUAUUUCAUACGGUCCAAUAAAACGCGGACUUAACUUGCCCUUUCGUCCAGAUCUAAGGACUUUCUUCCAUGGAGACACUUUCAAAAAUACCUUAUCACCAACUUGAAACUCCAUUUCUUUUCGUUUCAAAUCCGCAUAAGAUUUCUGUCUAUCUGAAGCAGCUUUCAAACAAUCUCGAAUCACUUUCACCUUUUCUUCGGUUUCUUUUAUUAAAUCAACUCCAUAAAUUUGAUUUUAAAUCAACUCCAUAAAUUUGAUUUUCCUUGAGUUCAGUCCAAUACAAUGGCGUUCGACAUUUACGACCAUAUAAUGCUUCAUAAGGUGCCAUCUUCAAACUCGUCUGAUAACUAUUAUUAUAAGCAAAUUCUACCAAUGGUAUGUACCUUUCCCAACUAUCUUGAAAUUCCAAUACGCAACAUCUGAGCAUGUCUUCAAGAAUCUAAAUUACUCUUUCUGAUUGUCCAUCAGUUUAUGGAUGAAAGACAGUGCUGAAAUUUAACUUUGUACCUAAUGCCUCUUGCAACUUUUGCCAAAACUGUGAGGUAAACCUCGGAUCUCUAUCCGAAAUGAUUGAAAAAGGUAUCCCAUGAAGUCUUACAAUCUCUCGGAUAUACAAUUCAGCCAACUUAUUAAGAGAAUAAUCUGUACGUACCGGAAUAAAAUGAGCCGAUUUAGUUAGUCUGUCAACUAUUGCCCAGAUGACAUUUUUCUUCCCUGGAGUUAACGGCAACCCUGAAAUAAAAUCUAUAGUAAUCCGAUCCCAUUUCCAUUCAGGAAUCAUAAUAGGCUGAAGUAAUCCCGAAGGUACUUGGUGUUCAGCUUUCACUUGUUGACAAACUAAGCACUUUGAUACAAACUCGGAAAUAUCUCUUUUCAUUCCACUCCACCAGUACAUUUUCUUUAAGUCAUUAUACAUCUUCGUACUGCCCGGAUGAACCGCAAAACAACCAUUAUGUGGUUCAUGCAAAAUCUUUUGAAUCAACUCAUCAUUUUUCGUUACACAAAUUUAAUUUUUAAACAUCAAACAACCAUCAGAACCGAUUCUAAAAUCUGAUCCCGUAUCAGCUUCACACUGUUUUCUUUUGGCUAGCAAAUCUUGAUCAUUUUUCUGAGUUUCAGAAAUCUCUUGUAAAAACAUCGGUCUUGCUCUUAACUCUGCUAGAAUCGAACCGUCAUCUGACAUUUUCAACUGAGUGUUCAUAACUCUCAAAGCAAACAACAACUUUCUUCUUAAAGCAUCGGCAACCACAUUCGCUUUUCUCGGAUGAUAAUCAAUAACAAGCUCAUAAUCUUUCAAUAACUCCAACCAUCUUCGCUGUCUCAAAUUCAAGUCUUUUUGUAACAUCAAGUAUUUAAGAUUUUUUUGAUCGGUAUAUACUCGGCACUUUUCACCAUACAAAUAAUGUCGCCAAAUCUUCAAAGCAAAUACCACCGCAGCCAAUUCCAAAUCGUGAGUAGGAUAAUUCCUCUCAUGAGGUUUUAAUUGUCUCGAAGCAUAAGCCACCACUUUUCCUUCUUGCAUGAGGACACACCCCAAACCAUUUAGAGAAGCAUCACUAUACACCACAAAUUCUUUACCUGAUUCGGGUUGUAUCAACACUGGUGCUUCAGUUAAUAACUUUUUCAAUUCUUCGAAACUCUGUUGACAUUCUUCCGUCCAUUCAAAUUUAACAUCCUUUCGGAGUAGUCUAGUCAUAAGAGCAGCAAUUAUAGAAAAUCCAUUUACAAACCGCCAAUAAUACCCAGCUAGCCCCAAGAAACUUCUAACUUCAGUUAUGUUUUUCGGUGGUUUCCAAUCAACAAUGGCUGAAAUUUUACUAGGAUCAACCCGUAUACCAUCACCUGAAACAAUAUGACCCAAAAAUCCAACUUCUCGGAGCCAAAAUUCACUUUUACUAAACUUAGCAUACAGCUGCUUAUCUCUCAAAGUUUGCAAAACUAUCCUCAAAUGCUUAGCAUGCUCUAUCUCAUCUUUUGAAUAAAUUAAAAUAUCAUCUAUAAACACCACAACAAAUCUGUCCAAGUAUGGUCGAAAUAUGCGAUUCAUUAAAUCCAUAAACACAGCAGGAACAUUUGUCAAACUGAAUGGCAUAACUAAAAAUUCAUAAUGAUCGUACCUUGUUCUAAAAGCAGUUUUAGGCACAUCUGACUCUUUCACUCGCAGCUGAUAAUACCCAGAUCUCAAGUCAAUCUUUGAAAACCAUGUCGCUCCUUUUAGCUGAUCAAACAAAUCAUCAAUUCUCGGCAAUGGAUACUUGUUUUUGAUUGUCACCUUGUUUAACUGCCGAUAAUCAACACAUAAUCUCAUAGAACCAUCCUUCUUUUUCACAAAUAACACGGGAGCACCCCAAGGUGAAAAACUCGGUCUCACAAAGCCUUUAUCAGUCAACUCUUGCAACUACGACUUUAAUUCUUUCAACUCUGUUGGUGCCAUUCUAUAUGGAACAAUCGAGAUCGGAGCUGUUCCUGGUAUCAAAUCUAUACCAAAUUCUACUUCCCUGACUGGAGGCAAACCCGGCAUUUCUUCUAGAAAUACAUCCGCAAAUUCACACACAACCGGCACUGAUUCAACUUUCUUUUCAACUUCUUUUGUAUUAAUUACAUACGCCAAAUAAGCUUCAUAACCCUUUCUCAAAUAUCUCUGAGCCGACAUCGAAGAGAUCAUACUAAAUAUUGCCUCUGAAUUGUCUGGUUCAACCUGUAAGAUUUCACCACUUUCACAUUUUAAUUCUAUAACCUUUUCUUUGCAAUUUACUAUAGCAUCAUGCAAUGUCAACCAAUCCAUACCCAAAAUAACAUCAAAUUCAUCAAACGGCAACAACAUCAAGUCGGCCAGAAAGUAAUGACCCCGAAUCAUUAAAGGGCAUUUCUUGCUUACUUUAUCAACUAUCACGCAUUUGCCUAACGAGUUCGACACUCUAAUCAUAAAUUCUGUGUUCUCAACAGGUAUAUUCAUACUAGACACCAGUUUCAUGCAUACAUAUGAAUGAGUAGAACCAGGAUCAAUCAAAGCAAUAACAUUAAUAUCAUAAAGAGAAAAUGUACCGGUAAUCACAUCGGGUGAGGAAGCAUCUUCACGCGCUUUAAUAGCAUAAGUUCUAGCCGGAGCUCUUCCUUCAGAUCUAAAUGCUGCAUCUCUGGCUACAUUUUUACUGCUUGUUUCACUUCCAACUUUUCUCGGAUACUUUCCCCUCGAGUUUGCACCACUAACUUUUACACUCUGAAUUUUUUUUUCUCAGCUCUCUCUGGGCAGUCUCUAAUAAAAUGAUCCGGAGAACCACAUCGAAAACAUUCAUUUGCUCUGCAUGGACCAAAAUGAUUUCUACCACACCGCUGGCACUCGGGUUUAACAAAUCUCGUAUUUCCCACACUAGCCAUAGAAGUAGUCUGAGAUUUAGGACCCACAUUUCGCUUCUUAAAAUUCCAUAUGAUUUCCAGCUGAAACUUGGGAACGAGGAUUCAUAUUUCUUGACUUUCCGGUUUGUUGUGAGGGUACAUUACUCAUUGGUCUUUUCUUCCAAUUUCGUGUUUCAGAUUCUACCUUUUUCUUUUCCUUCAGUAAUUCUUCAGCCUUGCAAGCUCGAUCGACAAGUACCACCAUUUAUUUUAGUUCAAGGAUCCCAACAAAUACCUUAAUGUCUUCGUUAAGCCCGUCUUCAAAUCGUCGGCACAUCUUGGCUUUUGUAGGAACAUAUUCCCUGGCAUACUUACAAAAUUGAACAAACUCUCUUUCAUAUUCUGAGACUAUCAUAUUACCUUGCUUCAGCUCAAGAAACUCUUUACAUUUCUGAUCAAUAAAUCUUUCACUAAUAUAUUUCUUCCGAAACUCUUCUUGAAAGAAUUCCCAGGUUACCCUCUCUUUCAGUACCACUGAAAUCAAAGUCUUCCACCAAUUAUAGGCUGAAUCUCUCAACAAAGAUGUAGCACAUUUCAAACAUUCUUCAGGUGUACAAGAUAAUUCAUCAAAUACCCGGAUAGAAUUUUCAAGCCAGAACUCUGCUUUCUCUACAUCAUCAUCAAUAUUUGCUCUAAAUUCUUCAGCCCCUUGUUUACAAAUUCUGUCAACGGGGGAUCUGUGAAAUUUUAUCAUAUCCACUCCUGAGGCAUCAGAGGCAUAGGUUGAGGAAUUGGGGGAGGUGGGGGAGGUCGUACAUUUGGGUUCGUACGAACGAACUCAGUGUACCAUGCACUCAUCAUUUGGAGAAAGGCUUCCCGAUCCCUUUCUCCUCCUCCCUUACAAACAGUAGGGGGUGGGUUUUCAGUCGGCACUGCCCCUUCAGCCAGAGCUGGCGCAUUACUCUCUACUUCAUCUGCCAGAGCUGGAUCGGGAUCCAUUUACUAUAUAAAAAUCAUUUAAAAAGGUCAGAAAUCGUCACACUAUCACAAUUCAUACAUAUGACAUGUAUAGCAAAAUCCGUACAUACAACACGUAGUCCGAGAACCGACUAAACCUAGCUCUGAUACCACCAAAUAUAAUGUUCCCACGCCCAAGACCAUCGCCGGAGUCGAGCUUGAGGGGUUACCGAACAAUAUUGAUCAAAUUAAGAACUUCACAUCAUUUAUUUCUACAUUCACAGCUUUCUAGCUACCCGCGUCACAGUUACAGGAAAAAUCAUAUCUCGAGUUACGAAACUCAAAAUCAAGAUCCGUAAAUUUUCCCUGAAUCUAGACUCAUAUAUCUAUUUACAAAUUGUUUUCUAGAAUUUUUGGUUGGGCCAAUUAGUACAGUUUAUUAGUUAAAUUCUCCCCUAUUUCAGGGUUUGACUGCUCUGACCUCUAUGUAUUAUGAAUUAGAAAUUUCUCUAUACAGAAUUUAAAUGACUAUAAGGUUUGUUUCUCUUAAAACUAGACUCAAUAAGGAAUCUUUAAAUAUAAAUAACAACUUCUACUUAUUUUUUUAAAAUUUAUUAUGAAUUUUUUUAAAGUCAGAACAUGGGAUCCAGAAAUCACUCUGGCCCUGUUUCACAAAAGUUUAAAUAUCUCAAAAAAUAUAAUUUAUAUGCCUGUUUUGUUCAAUCCACAUGAAAAUAGACUCAUUAAGUUUCAAUUUCAUAUCUUACUCAUUAUUUAGUUCCAUUUAUACUCUUUUUAGUGAUUUUUCAAAUUCAUGUCAUUGCUGCAGCAAUAUUCUGUUUUAAGGCAAGUUUCAUCUUUCCAUGAAUUUUUAUGAACUAGAUAACCUAUUAAACUUCCAUAAUAUCAAACAUGAUCUAAAUUAGCCAUCACCAUGACUUAUCAAUAUCAAAAAUUUUCUCAACCAAACAUGGCCAUAUCAUAAAAUUAUUUACACAAAAUAAGUAUAUUGCUAUACAUGCCAUACUUAAGUUUUACAAGCCAUUUACCCAGAUGAAAGUCCUUUGGAUAGUGUGAUCGAACCUUCGACCCGUCCCGAUUCCCGAGCUGGCUUGUUCAAAAAUACAGUAAAUAAAGAGGAGGGAGUAAGCAUAAAUACUUAGUAAGUUCAUAUGUAAAUAACAAGUAACAUAACAAUACAAAUAUACCAAACAACUUUAGCAUGGUAUCACCAAAACAUAUAUCACAUUUCUAAACAUCAUUCAUCAUCUUACCACCUUAUCGUUGUUGUAUCUAUUUUCAACCCGAGGGUUAAGAACAUACCUGUCCAAAGUGUCCAUUUCACAACACUUACCAAAACAUCGCUUGCACCUUAAGUGUUCUUCCAUUUCACUAGAAAUUUCACCCGUUGAACACAUCAGAAGACAACUCGGAUACACGGAUAAUUUGCACAUAAGUGCCUCAUAUGUAAUCAAGAAAUCAUGUAACUCGCGCCUAAGUGAACUCGGACUCAACUCAACGAGCUCGGGUGUUCGCAUCCAUAAAUGAACUCGGACUCAACUCAACGAGUUCGGAUGCCUAGUUACAUUUCACGAACUCGGACUCAACUCAACGAGUUCGGACAUUCGCAUCCAUAAGUGAACUCGGACUCAACUCAACGAGUUCGGAUGCUCAACCAUCCUAGUGACAUGUCACUUGUAUCCUAAUCUAUUCCUAAGGUUCAAACAGGCUUUUUCCCUCGAUCUCACAUUUGCCUUCUUCCAUGGAAUAUCGGAACCAAUACUCGGUAGCAAUUCAUAUUUAUCAAGUAGUAAACAUAAUUUGCAUAUUACUCAAUAUUAAGCACAAAGCAUAAUAUUUCACGAUUAAAAAUCAGCAUAUCAUAUAAUUAACAUUAAUAACUUAAAAAUAACAUUUAUGCUACAUUAUUUACACAUGAACUUACCUUGGUACUAAAAUAUAAAGAUUUUGCAAUUUAGUCCACAAUCUUUUCUUUUCCUCGAUCGCGACUUGAAUCUCGUUUCUCUUGAUCUAUAAUACCAAAUUAAUCUUAUUUAAUACAUACAUUCAUCAAAACAGCAUUUAAUACGAACUUUGAAAAAAUUACACUUUUGCCCCUAAACUUUUACAUAAUUACACUUUUGCUCCUAGGCUUGGGAAUUAAACUUUAUUCCUUAUUCUUAUGUUUUAUAACAUGCUGAUCACUUUUCCCUUCUAUGGCAACAUCAAAUUCUCUCUCUAACAUAUAGUUGUGACUAUUAGGUAUUUUUGCCGAUUAAGCCCUUUUACUCGUUUUCACUCAAAACCGAGUAGCACAAGUUGUCUAACAUAAUUUAAAACCUCAUAUUCUAUCAUAAAACAUCAAAAUACACAAAUUUCACCUAUGGGUAUUUUUCCAAAUAUGAACCCUAGGUUGAAUUAUUGCUAGCAUAAGCUUAAUCGAGCUACUUGGAUUCCAAAAACGUAAAGAACAUUAAAAACGGGGCUUGGAAUCACUUACUAUGGAGCUUGGAAGCUUGAAACAAACCCUAUCUAUGGAGAACCCUUGAAAUUUCGGCCUAAUGAAGAAGAUGGACAAAAAUUGGUUUUUAAUUUUGUUUUUAAUUCAUUUUAAUAACUAAAUGACCAAAAUACCCUUACUACUAAACUUUCCAAAAAUUCCUUCCAUGUCCUAAUUUUUUCCAUGAACUUAAAAUUGGUCAAAUUUCUAUUUAAGACCUCCUCAUUAAUAUUCCAAAAAAAUUUCAUACUAAAAACUUCUAGAAUGCAAGUUUUGCAACUUAUUCGAUUUAGUCCCUACUUUCAAUUUAAGCACUUUAGGCAUAGAAUUUCAUCACGAAAUUUUCACACAAUCAUGCAAUCAUAUCAUAAUCAUCAAAAUAAUUAUAAAAUAAUUAUUUCUAUCUCAAAUUUGUGGUCACGAAACCACUAUUCCGAGUAAGCCCUAAUUCAGGAUAUUACAAAAACACAAUUACCAUUUCACAUUUCUCAUAUAAUUCAUUUGAUUAUAUAGUUCCCUUGCUAUUAACCACAUCUCAUUUUCACAUAGAUCAUAAUCAUACUCACUUUCAUUUCUCAAUUUCAUAUACAUUGCAACAUACCUGAAUCAGAUGCACAUUCAUAUACUCAUUUAUUUCUCGAAAUGCCCAUUGAACUGUUCAGAAUCAAUAAGGAUACUCGGAUAGCUCUAGAAACUCGUACAAUGCUAACAUCCCAAACGUGGUCUUACACAUGCCACUGUCCCAGACAGGGUCUUACACAAAAGUAAAUACGAUGCCAAUGUCCCAGACAUGGUCUUACACGUAAAUCUUAAAUCGAUGACAAUGCCCCAGAUGUGGUCUUACACGAAAUCAUAUAUCGAUGCCACUAUCUCAGACAGGGUCUUACACAAUAUCUCACAUCUCGGAAGCUCACAUGUUAUGACACCAAUAUUCUGUACAAUUGUUAGUUUGAUUGGGACUUUCAACUGCACAAUUAAAUCAACUCAUACUCAAAAUAAGUCAUCAAAUGCUUAAUUCCAUUCGGUCGUAUACAUAUAAAUACAAAUUAAUUCAGAACAUAUAAUACACUUACAUUUCAAUUUAACAAUAUUUAUUUACUUAUGAACUUACCUCGUACGAACACGAACGAACUGAACAAUUAUUCGACAAUUUUUUAUUUUUCCCCAAUCCAAAUCAGAUUUCCUCUUUUCUUGAUCUAAUUCAAUACAAAUAUGGCUUGUCUAAUAACAUAUUCAUUCAUUUUCAUCCAAAAAUACAUAAUUUGGGCAUUUAUAUUUUAGUCUCAAACAUUUCACAUUUUCACAAUUUAAUCCCUAUUUCAAAACAAUACAAAAUACUCAGAAUUUCACUAUGCCCAUGUUAGGCCGAAUUCACCUUUGGUCCCUAGCAGCCCAUUAAUUCAAUUUAUUUCACAUUUUGAUCCGUAAUUUACAAAUUUCUCAAUUUAGUACUUAACACGCAUUUUUAUAAAAAAUCACUUAAUUAAACAUAAUUAUCUAUUAACAAAGAUUUAUUUUUCAUCAUGAAACAAAAAAUUCAUCACAUUAUCAACCAUGGCAAAUCUCAAAUUCAUCAUCAAUUCCGAAAAUUGAAACAUGGGCUAGGCAAUAGACGAAACAACGAUCUCAAAAUGUAAAAAUUAUCAAAAACCGACUAAAAUCCAUACCUUAAUUUAGCUUGGAGCAAGGCCGAACCUUAAAAACCUUCAAAUGUUUUCUUUCUUUCUUCCAUUCGGCCACAAAAAGAUGAAUGAUAAUGGCCAUUUUGUUUUACUUUAUUUUAUUAUAUAUUAAUACACCAUUUACAAAAAUAACCUUUGAAAUUUAAUUAGAAAGCCAUAUAAUUAAUGUCCAUUACUAUCCAUGCUUUAGUUCAAUGGUCAAAUUCCAUUUUAAGGACUUCAUAUUUAACUAAUCAAAGCAAAUAGGCACUUUAACUUAUAGCAUGCUACUUUUACAUUUUACGCGAUUAAGUCCUUUUUCCAAAUUAACCGUUCAAAUGAUAAAAUUAAUUCACGAAAUUUUCUCACAUAUCAAAUAAUAUGCUGUAAAUAAUAAAAAUAAUAUUAAAAUAAUUUUAUGGCCUUAGAUUUGUGGUUCCAAAAUCACUGUUCCGACUAGGGUCUAAACCGGGCUGUUACAAUAAAGUAUCUAAUGUUACAGAAAAAUCUGCAAAUUGAGACAACGUUGAUGGCUUGAACUAUUGAAAGAUUGUGAAUAAUUAAUGAUUAACCUUUGAGGAAGUAGAUAUAGUUGUAGAUGCUUGAAUGGAAAGCCAUUUUUCAUUUUGUGAAUGUUGAUUACAUGAUUAAUCUUAUUUGAUGGAAGUCUGAAUUUAGCUAAAUUAAAAAGAUAAGGCAAUGCUUUCUUUGCAAGGUUGAGAACCUCAGAAAUGUAAUAGUGAGUGGUAACCUAAACUAGCACAGCGUGAGACGACUUUUGAUUUUGAUUUCUGUUAUUAUUUCUCUGAGAUAGAAUUCGCGCAAUGAAUGAUCCAGAGCUUCUGCAGAAAAUGUUGUAUGAGACUCAGUAGUAG
rnacentral:lncRNA from 1 species